UACGAAGGGGGCUAGCGUUGUUCGGAAUCACUGGGCGUAAAGCGCACGUAGGCGGAUUUUUAAGUCAGGGGUGAAAUCCCGAGGCUCAACCUCGGAACUGCCUUUGAUACUGGCGAUCUUGAGUCCGGGAGAGGUGAGUGGAACUCCGAGUGUAGAGGUGAAAUUCGUAGAUAUUCGGAAGAACACCAGUGGCGAAGGCGGCUCACUGGCCCGGUACUGACGCUGAUGUGCGAAAGCGUGGGGAGCAAACAGG
rnacentral:rRNA from 1 species